CCGCUGUGAAGAUUUUGUAUGGAGCUGAAGUUUUGGAAAUGAAAAUCUUCUACCAUAUGAUCUUCAGAGGAACUAAUCCAGCUGAUUACUGGCAAUUUGGAGGAGGACUGCUCUUUAUCUGUUGUGUCUGUCACUUCUGG